CGUAGGUGAACCUGCGGAAGGAUUAUUG
rnacentral:rRNA from 1 species